rnacentral:tRNA from 1 species
GGAGAGGUAGCGAAGAGGCUAAACGCGACAGACUGUAAAUCUGUUCUCUUUGAGUUCGAUGGUUCGAAUCCAUCUCUCUCCACCA